CCUUAUGCCACAGGAGCCAAAUGCACAGUUCUCCAGCUAAGCAGGUUAGGGCAGGAUUAGUACUUGGAUGGGAGAUCACCAAGGAAAAAACGCAGGUAAGAGGU
rnacentral:rRNA from 1 species